AGAGUUUGAUCCUGGCUCAGGACUAACGCUGGCGGCAUGCAUCAUACAUGCAAGUCGAACGAGGUGUAUUGGGCAACUGAUGCAUCUAGUGGCGCACGGGUGAGUAACACGUAGAUAACCUGCCCCUAAGACUGGGAUAACGGCUCGAAAGGGUCGCUAAGACUGGAUAAGCCCCCGGGUCGAGAGACUUGCGGGAAAAACAGGGUUUCGGCUCUGGCUUUAGGAUGGGUCUGCGGACUAUCAGCUAGUUGGUGGGGUAACGGCCUACCAAGGCGAUGACGGUUAUCCGGCUUGAGAGAGUGUACGGACACACUGGAACUGAGACACGGUCCAGACUCCUACGGGAGGCAGCAGUAGGGAAUUUUCCGCAAUGGGCGCAAGCCUGACGGAGCAAUGCCGCGUGAGGGAAGAAGGUCUUCGGAUCGUAAACCUCUUUCGUUUGGGAAGAAACGGUUGGGCAAGAAACGGUCUAGCCGAGACGGUACUGAAGGAAGAAGCCCCGGCUAAUUACGUGCCAGCAGCCGCGGUAAUACGUAAGGGGCAAGCGUUGUCCGGAAUCACUGGGCGUAAAGGGCGCGUAGGCGGUUCGAUAAGUUGGGAGUGAAAGCACUGGGCCUAACCCAGUAAUGGCUCUCGAGACUGUCGGGCUAGAGGGUCCUAGGGGAUUGUGGAAUUCCAGGUGUAGCGGUGAAAUGCGUAGAUAUCUGGGAGAACACCCGUGGCGAAGGCGGCAAUCUGGGGGACACCUGACGCUGAGGCGCGAAAGCUAGGGGAGCGAACGGGAUUAGAUACCCCGGUAGUCCUAGCCCUAAACUAUGAGUACUAGGUGUUGGGGGUCAAACCUCGGUGCCGGCGCUAACGCAUUAAGUACUCCGCCUGGGGACUACGGUCGCAAGACUAAAACUCAAAGGAAUUGACGGGGGCCCGCACAAGCGGUGGAGCAUGUGGUUCAAUUCGAUGCAACACGAAAAACCUUACCUGGGUUUGACAUCCCGUGUGACCUUGCAGAGAUGCUUGGGAUAGGAGCAAUCCUUACGCGGUGACAGGUGGUGCAUGGCUGUCGUCAGCUCGUGUCGUGAGAUGUUGGGUUAAGUCCCGCAACGAGCGCAACCCCUGCGGUUAGUUACCAUCAUUAAGUUGGGGACUCUAGCCGGACGGUCGGCCAUAAGCCGAAGGAAGGUGGGGAUGACGUCAAGUCAGCAUGCCCCUUAUACCCAGGGCUACACACGUGCUACAAUGGACGGCACAAAGGGCUGCAAACUCGCGAGAGGGAGCCAAUCCCCAAAGCUGUCCCAAGUUCAGAUUGCAGGCUGCAACUCGCCUGCAUGAAGGCGGAAUCGCUAGUAAUCGUGGAUCAGCAUGCCACGGUGAAUACGUUCCCGGGCCUUGUACACACCGCCCGUCAUACCACCCGAGUGGAUUGCACCCGAAGUCGGCUCUCUAACCCGCAAGGGAGGAAGCUGCCGAAGGUGUGGUUCGUGAGGGGGGUGAAGUCG
rnacentral:rRNA from 1 species